AACGGCCGUACCAUGCUGAAUAUACCGGUUCUCGUUAGAUAACCGAAGUCAAGCAUCAUUGGGCGCGGUCAGUACUUGGGUGGGUGACCAUCUGGGAACACUGCGUGCCGUU
rnacentral:rRNA from 1 species